rnacentral:rRNA from 1 species
AAUAUUGCACAAUGGGCGCAAGCCUGAUCCAGCCAUGCCGCGUGUGUGAAGAAGGCCUUCGGGUUGUAAAGCACUUUCGGCCGGAACGAAAUCGCGCGGGCGAAUAUCCCGCGUGGAUGACGGUACCGGAAGAAGAAGCACCGGCUAACUACGUGCCAGCAGCCGCGGUAAUACGUAGGGUGCGAGCGUUAAUCGGAAUUACUGGGCGUAAAGCGUGCGCAGGUGGUCUCGCAAGUCGAGUGUGAAAGCCCCGGGCUUAACCUGGGAAUUGCGCUCGAAACUACGGGACUGGAGUGUGGCAGAGGGAGGUGGAAUUCCACGUGUAGCGGUGAAAUGCGUAGAGAUGUGGAGGAACACCGAUGGCGAAGGCAGCCUCCUGGGCCAACACUGACACUCAGGCACGAAAGCGUGGGGAGCAAAC